rnacentral:rRNA from 1 species
CCUACGGGAGGCAGCAGUGAGGAAUAUUGGUCAAUGGGCGCGAGCCUGAACCAGCCAAGUCGCGUGAGGGAAGACGGUCCUAUGGAUUGUAAACCUCUUUUGUCGGGGAGCAAAAGACGCCACGCGUGGCGUUCCGAGAGUACCCGAAGAAAAAGCAUCGGCUAACUCCGUGCCAGCAGCCGCGGUAAUACGGAGGAUGCGGGCGUUAUCCGGAUUUAUUGGGUUUAAAGGGUGCGCAGGCGGAAGAUCAAGGCAGCGGUAAAAUUGCGGGGCUCGACCUCUUAGAGCCGUUGAAACUGGUUGUCUUGAGUGAGUGAGAGGUAUGCGGAAUGCGUGGUGUAGCGGUGAAAUGCAUAGAUAUCACGCAGAACUCCGAUUGCGAAGGCAGCAUACCGGCGCUCAACUGACGCUCAUGCACGAAAGUGUGGGGAUCGAACAGGAUUAGAUACCCCAGUAGUC